AAGAGAAAGAGGAGAGAAAGACAGUAUAAGAUAAUAUUAGAUAAUGAUAAGGGCUGUAAAGGAAAUAAGCAAGGUGUAUCAGUCAGCACUUGCUGCAUAACAAAGUACUCCAAAAUUCAAUAAUUAUUUAUUUAGCUCAUAAUCCUAUAAAUUACUAUUUAAACUGGGCUCAACUGGUCAGUUCUUCUGGUCUUGCUAGUCCAGGUGUCUUUGAUUAAGUAACUGGUUGAUUAGCGGCCAGCUGUCCAGAAUGAACUUAGCUCUAGUCCAUGUCUAAUGAAAAUGAGAACUGCUGAAAAAAAAAACUUCAUGCUUUCAGUGGCCUUUUGGGGCAAGAGAGAGGAAAGGGAAUCAGCAUUUUCACAUUGUACUAUGUUGCUCUUCUGCUACCUGCUAGGAAGUCUUUUACUUAAUAUAUGCCUGUCCUGCAGAUGUGUGCACAGGAUGUGGAACACAAAUGCCCCUCCCCCAGCUGGCUAUCCUGGGUUUGAAUACAUGGUGGUGUUAAGGUUCUGGAGACAGUAAAAAUAGACAAGGAAUCCCAGUGUCUGGGUUCAGAACUGGCACACCUCCACUUCUGUCACAUACAAGCAAGUUACAGAUCAGUCCAGGUCAAGGGGUAGGGAAAUGGACCGUAUCUCUCAAUGGAAAAACCAAGUCCAUCCAAAAGGGUACAGGUAAAGGGAGAGUAUUAAUUAGAGCCACCAACAAAAUGAAUCUACCAUCCAGGGCAAUGUCAUGGAGGGUGGCUGUGGGGUGGGAAAGAGAAGGGUGGAACUACUUCACGAGGAACAAGAGGUCUUUCUGAGGAGGUGGCGUGUGUGUGUGUAUGUGUGUGUGUGUGCAUAAACACAUGUAUGCAAUGAAGGAAUAAGGGAGAGGAAGAAUAGAUAUUCAGUAGCUUGAACAAAGGGGAAUGAAAGGAAGGGAGGGGGAUCGGAAAAGGAAAGACAGUGGAAUGAAUUUCAAAUAAUUUUCCUAUGUAUACAUAUGAAUGCACCAUAGUGAAUUCUACCAUCAUAUACGUCCACAAGAAUGGGGUCCUAAUUAGAAUAAGAUAUAGUCCAUGCUUGUAUAUUUAUAUCAAAAUGGAUUCUAUUGUCAUAUAUAACUAUAAAGAACCAAUUUUUAAAAAGGAAUAAGGGAGACAAAAGAAAGCAGAGGAAGAUAUCUCUACUGAUGGAGGAAAGGAAGCUACAAGGCUUCGAGAAGUUGCUUACAAUGACAGUAGUGAGCAAUACUUCAACAGGUUGCAUGAAAGCCUGUGAAGAGGAAAUGAUAGGAGAAAGGAGACAAUAUCCUAGGAAGAGUGAACAACCUGAGGAGGAGGUAGGAAGUGGUUUUCAUUUUAUUUAAUUUGGAGAAGAGGUAAAAUGAGUAGGGGGAGGAAGAUCUUCCAGAGAAAAGAGCACUUCAAAGAAUAUCUGUUAUAGUGAACUUUGGAGGGAUCAGGAGUUUUUAUGAGCAAGACAUUGUAAGAAGAAAAGAAAGACAAUUAAAAACUCCAGGAAAAACAAAAGGCCAUAUAAGAUGGUCAUUGUAACACUGUUUAUUAAUGUUGAUCAAAAUACUAAAUAAAAUUAUAUUAUGGCAGAAGUAAAUUAUCAAUGGCUAAAACUGAUUGCCAAAAUACACAUCUAAAAUAAUUGUUCAAAC
rnacentral:lncRNA from 1 species